rnacentral:rRNA from 1 species
UGAACGCUGGCGGCAGGCCUAACACAUGCAAGUCGAACGGUAACAGGAAGAAGCUUGCUUCUUUGCUGACGAGUGGCGGACGGGUGAGUAAUGUCUGGGAAACUGCCUGAUGGAGGGGGAUAACUACUGGAAACGGUAGCUAAUACCGCAUAACGUCGCAAGACCAAAGAGGGGGACCUUCGGGCCUCUUGCCAUCGGAUGUGCCCAGAUGGGAUUAGCUAGUAGGUGGGGUAACGGCUCACCUAGGCGACGAUCCCUAGCUGGUCUGAGAGGAUGACCAGCCACACUGGAACUGAGACACGGUCCAGACUCCUACGGGAGGCAGCAGUGGGGAAUAUUGCACAAUGGGCGCAAGCCUGAUGCAGCCAUGCCGCGUGUAUGAAGAAGGCCUUCGGGUUGUAAAGUACUUUCAGCGGGGAGGAAGGGAGUAAAGUUAA